UAUAAUUGGUCUCCGCUUUGUUCAGGGUUCUGCUGGCAUAAGCAAUAACUUGUUCUAAACCCUUUUCCUUGCGCUGGGUCAGCACAGCACCCAAACCAGUGUCACUGGCAUCAGUGUAAACAGUAAAAGGCAAUUGAAGGUCCGGAUGGCCAAGAAUGGGAGGAGAGUGCAUUGAUGGGUUCAGCGAUCCUGGAGAAGUUUGGUACAAACCGGUGGUACCACCCGGCUAACCCCAGGAAGCGCUGGACCUCCUUGAUGUUGGUGGGCACAGGGUAUUCCCGUAUAGCCUCCACUUUACUUGGGUCUGCAGCUAUGCCUUGGACGUUGACAAUGUGUCCCAGAAAGGUUAUUUCUUUAAGACAGAACUUGCUUUUUUUUUAAUUAAUGGUGAGGCCAGCCAUUUGCAGUUUAUGGAGGACAGCCUGGAGGUCGGAGAAGUGCUGGGCUACAGAUGGUGAGUAAAUAAUUAUGUCGUCAAUGUAGACAAAGCAGAUGUUUCCACGCAAUUCUCCUAGAACAGUCUCCAUUAGUCUUUGGAAGGUUGCUGGGGCAUUUUUUAACCCAAACGGCAUAACAUUAAACUGAAACAAUCCUGAUGGAGUUGUGAAAGCAGUUUUUGGUUUACUUUCUUGAUCCAUGUUCACCUGCCAGUAGCCACUGUUAAGGUCAAUCGUGGAAAAGAUGGCGGCUCCAGAUAGUGACUCUAAGAUCUCAGUGAUGUUGGGUAAAGGGUAAGCAUCAUUCUCUGUAAUGGCAUUAACUUUCCUGUAGUCCACACAAAACCUGAGGCUUCCGUCUUUUUUAGGGACCAAGACGACAGGUGAGGCCCAUCCAGAAUGUGAUGGUUCUACGAUGCCGGCAGUCAACAUCUCUUCCAGUUGCUCUGUAAUGACAGCUUGUUUGGCAGGUGUUGUACGCCAACUCAUCUUCAUAAUCCUCUGAGAGGAAAGCAGAGAGGAAAGCAGCUUCAAAUUCUUCCCACGUGGUUAUUGAGGAUCGUGCAACUUCCCACCAGUCCCGGGCAGUACCGUAAAGGACAGUGCGGAAAGUGGCCAGAAUGUCAGCAUCAGAGCAGGAAGCAAAGGAGCGGUCACUGGUGAUACAGCUGAAACUGGAGCGUUAAGAGGCAAAGGAGUUGAUAGGAUACCAGGCAAGUCCUGCUGUGCCGCCGAAGAUUGAGAUGAAGGGUCAAGUAAUGUACAUAUCUGCAUAGAGUCG